rnacentral:rRNA from 1 species
UACGAAGGGGGCUAGCGUUGCUCGGAAUCACUGGGCGUAAAGCGCACGUAGGCGGAUCUUUAAGUCAGGGGUGAAAUCCCAAGGCUCAACCUUGGAACUGCCUUUGAUACUGGCGAUCUUGAGUCCGGGAGAGGUGAGUGGAACUCCGAGUGUAGAGGUGAAAUUCGUAGAUAUUCGGAAGAACACCAGUUGCGAAGGCGGCUCACUGGCCCGGUACUGACGCUGAGGUGCGAAAGCGUGGGGAGCAAACAGG